UCGGGAAUUUUGGGCAAUGGGCGAAAGCCUGACCCAGCAACGCCGCGUGAAGGAUGAAGUAUUUCGGUAUGUAAACUUCGAAAGAAUAGGAAGAAUAAAUGACGGUACUAUUUAUAAGGUCCGGCUAACUACGUGCCAGCAGCCGCGGUAAUACGUAGGGACCAAGCGUUGUUCGGAUUUACUGGGCGUAAAGGGCGCGUAGGCGGCAAUUCAAGUCAUCUGUGAAAUCUCCGGGCUUAACUCGGAACGGUCAGAUGAUACUGCUUUGCUAGAGUGCAGAAGGGGCAAUCGGAAUUCUUGGUGUAGCGGUGAAAUGCGUAGAUAUCAAGAGGAACACCUGAGGUGAAGACGGGUUGCUGGGCUGACACUGACGCUGAGGCGCGAAAGCUAGGGGAGCAAACGGGAUUAGAUACCCAAGUAGUCCCUGAG
rnacentral:rRNA from 1 species